GCCUCUUUAGUUCAGGGGAUAGAACGGCGGAUUUCUACAUCGCGCGUCGGCGGUUCGAAUCCGUCAAGAGGCUCCA
rnacentral:tRNA from 1 species